CCUACGGGCGACAGCAGUGGGGAAUAUUGGACAAUGGGGGAAACCCUGAUCCAGCGACGCCGCGUGAGUGAAGAAGUAUUUCGGUACGUAAAGCUCUAUCAGCAGGAAAGAAAAUGACGGUACCUGACUAAGAAGCCCCGGCUAACUACGUGCCAGCAGCCGCGGUAAUACGUAGGGGGCAAGCGUUAUCCGGCUUUACUGGGUGUAAAGGGAGCGUAGACGGCAGCGCAAGUCUGGAGUGAAAUGCCGGGGGCCAACCCCGGAACUGCUCUGGAAACUGUGAAGCUGGAGUGCAGGAGAGGUAAGCGGAAUUCCUGGUGUAGCGGUGAAAUGCGUAGAUAUCAGGAGGAACACCGGCGGCGAAGGCGGCUUACUGGACUGUAACUGACGUUGAGGCUCGAAGGCGUGGGGAGCAAACAGGAUUAGAUACCCGGGUAGUC
rnacentral:rRNA from 1 species